rnacentral:ribozyme from 13 species
CAAAUAUACGAAAAAAAAAAAGAUAACAAAAAACAAAGAAAUUAGAAAAAAAUGUCCGUACGAUGUCCCACAGAACAGUGAACAGUAAAUUCCACAGAACUCUAAGUUUUUCCUUUUCCCCGUUUUUUUCCCAGUCAUCAUCUGGACAGAACCAGACAGGAGACAGGGGGCGGACAGGAAAAGCUGAAAUAAAAAAUAACUCCAGCAGUUUCUGAAAUUCACAUUCACAUUCUUCACGUUCACGCACGAAGCAAGAAC